rnacentral:rRNA from 1 species
AUUGAACGCUGGCGGCAGGCUUAACACAUGCAAGUCGAGCGAGCGGCGGACGGGUGAGUAAUGUCUGGGAAAGUGCCUGAUGGAGGGGGAUAACUACUGGAAAGGGUAGCUAAUACCGCAUACCAUCAGAUGGGCCCAUAUGGGAUUAGCUAGUAGGUGGGGUAAUGGCUCACCUAGGCGACGAUCCCUAGCUGGUCUGAGAGGAUGACCAGCCACACUGGAACUGAGACACGGCCCAGACUCCUACGGGAGGCAGCAGUGGGGAAUAUUGCACAAUGGGCGCAAGCCUGAUGCAGCCAUGCCGCGUGUGUGAAGAAGGCCUUCGGGUUGUAAAGCACUUUCAGCGAGGAGGCGGUACCCGCAGAAGAAGCACCGGCUAACUCCGUGCCAGCAGCCGCGGUAAUAC